UUGGUUAGUGAAUGCAACAAAAUACUUGAGUUACCUUCUUCAAGUUUAGAUGUGGGUUUUGAUGUAGCUAGCUGUUUGGCAAGGUUCAGCAGAUGGAACCUUCUCCAUAAAAUCUGUUUAUGAAUUAGUGUGUCAUUGUCGAUCCCUCCAAGACUUAAGACUGCAAAAACCAGACAGUGUUUUUAGUGGCUUCUGACUCAAUACAGGCUAAUAAGCUUCUAGAGGAAGGUUGCAACGUUCAUCACACCAGUAGGAGUUUGAUCGAAGAAAUCCGCGACGUGCAUGGACAUCUGGGGAACGUGUCUUGGAAUUAUGUUACUAUGGAAGCAAAUAGUGUGGCAAAUAUAUUAGCCAAGAAGGCAGUUAAUUUAGCUCAG
rnacentral:lncRNA from 1 species